rnacentral:rRNA from 1 species
CGGGUUGUAAAGCACUUUCAGUCGUGAGGAAGGCGGGUACGUUAAUAGCGUAUUCGUUUGACGUUAGCGACAGAAGAAAGCACCGGCUAACUCCGUGCCAGCAGCCGCGGUAAUACGGAGGGUGCGAGCGUUAAUCGGAAUUACUGGGCGUAAAGCGCAUGCAGGUGGUUUGUUAAGUCAGAUGUGAAAGACCCGGGGCGUCAACCUACGGAAUAGCAUUUGUAAACUAGGCAGACUAGAGUACUGUAGAGGGGGGUAGGAAUUUCAGGUGUAGCGGUGAAAUGCGUAGAGAUCUGAAGGAAUACCGGUGGCGAAGGCGGCCCCCUCGGACAGAUACUGACACUCAGAUGCGAAAGCGUGGGGAGCAAACAGGAUUAGAUACCCUGGUAG